ACCCUGCAAGCUGCUUCUGUCUCCUACUUGUUCCUCUGGUGAGCUAGGUUGCUCAAACUUGAAAAAAAAAAUGCCUAAACUCCUGCAAGGCAUCAUCACUGUCAUCGAUGCUUUCUACCAAUAUGCCACUCAGCAUGGGGAGUAUGAUAUGUUGAACAAGGCAGAGCUGAAAGAACUUUUGGAAAAUGAGUUUCAUCAAAUUCUGAAGAAUCCAAAUGAUCCAGAUACUGUGGA